rnacentral:lncRNA from 1 species
UGGAUUUUUAUAGGAAUAUAUAGGCGCUGCUCUCUGGGGUAUAGAAGACCUCAACCUUGAAUACUGUUCCUGGUGAGGCUGCAUCUGGCUCUGAACCCUCUGAACCUACUAGGAGAUAGCCACCUGCUCCCCAUAAUGGGGACAGAAAGGAGCUGCCCCGGGAGCAGCCCCUGCCCCCUGGUCCCAUAGGCACAGAAAGAUCACAAGCACAGACCGAGGCCCAGAGCCAGGCCCCCUUCCGGCCAGCCCACCGACCUGGCUCUCAAGUUGAGUUUGGCACUACCAAAAAGGACUCAGAUUUGUGCCUAGUGGUAGGAGACACUUUAAAAGGAGAGAAAGAGUUGACAGCAUCGGCCACAGAGGCCGUUCCCAUACCCUGAGACUGGGAGCUGCUUCCCAGCACUUCUGCUCCCGCUGAGCCACAAUCCAAGAGCCUGGGUUCUGGGCACUGUGGUCCACAGCCCAGCCCUUCAGAUCAGUGCCUGUAUCCUGAGGUCUUCUAUGGCAGUCCUGGGCCUCCCAGUUCCCAAGUCUCUGGUGGUGCCCUUGACUCUCAGUUACAUCCCAACAGUGGAGGCUUUCGUCCUGGGACACCCUCAUUGCACCAGUACAGGUCACAGCCCCUGUAUCUACCCCCAGGUCCAGCUCCUCCCUCGGCGCUGCUCUCUGGGGUAGCUCUCCAGGGCCAGUCUCUGGAUUUCUCAGCACUGCAAGCCACAAAGCUGGGGAAGUUGCCUGCUGGAGUUCUCUACCCUCCACUGUCCUUCCUCUACUCGGCAGCUUUCUGCCCCAGCCCUUUACCUGACACACCCUUGCUUCAGGUACGCCAGGGUCUGCCAUCCCCUUCAGAUUUUUACUCUAACCCUCUACAGCCUGGUGGUCAGCGUGGCUUCCUUCCUUCAAGAGCCCCUGCACAGGCCCUUCCCCCUAGCCUGGGGCCAGCAGAGCUGCACCCAGCAGAACUAAAGUCUUUCCAGAAAAAUCGAAAGCUGAGCAGCAACCUUGGUGGUCCUGGGUCAUCUCGGACUCCUCCAACUGGAAGCGGAGUAUUCCCAACUCAGCGCAUUGACCCCUACCAACAGGGCUCCCCACCUGAAGCCCUGCGCUGGAUGCUGAAGCCUUGGGAAAGGACGGGGCCACCUUCUCGAGAAGGGCCUCCCGAAGAGCAGAGGAGCCUGGGUCCCCGGGGAACAAGGAGCCUGGAUUGCCCCCACCCCACUGAGGGAGCUCCCCUUGACCCCCACCCCCGGGGCUUGUAUAUAGAUUAUAAAUAUAUAAGGGGGAAGGGGUAGCUGGGGAGGGGUUGUGGGUCUGGAGCCUCACUUCCCCUCUUCUCUUCCUUCCCCUGGUCCCCCAUCCCUGGGGCCAUUUGUUAAAAAAAGAAUAAAAGAAUUAAAAAAAAAAAGCAAGACGGAAUUUAAGCCAUGCAGUCAUCUCAUUUAUAG